AAAAGCAAUACAAUUCUUCGGACCAAGCUCUUUCCUUCCCUUCCUAUGAAUCUUGCGCCAAGCGCGGACCAUCCUCUCCUUCAAGUUUUGGGGAUCUUUACCCUCUUGAAAGAACACACCUUCUAACAAAAUGUUAUUAGGUUUAUCCUUUAAGGGGAACCCAAGCUGACGGCGAGCCAAAAUAGGGUUGUAGUUAAUCCUACCACAUGUACCAAGAAGAGGCACAUUGGAG
rnacentral:lncRNA from 1 species